rnacentral:rRNA from 1 species
GUAGUAGUAGUUAUGUUCUUGAAACUUAAAAAAUUUGGCGGUAUUUUAGUCUAUCCAGAGGAACCUGUUUUGUAAUCGAUAAUCCACGAUGGACCUUACUUAGAUUUGUAUUCAGUUUAUAUACCGUCGUUAUUAGAAUAUUUUAUAAGAAUAAUAAUAUUCAAUAAUUUUUAUAAAAAUUUAUAUCAGAUCAAGGUGUAGCUUAUGUUUAAGUAAUAAUGGGUUACAAUAAAUUUAUUUAUAUGGAUAAAAUUAUGAAAAAAUUUUUGAAAGUGGAUUUGGUAGUAAAAUUAUAAAGAUUAAUAAUUUGAUUUUAGCUCUAAAAUAUGUACAUAUCGCCCGUCGCUCUUAUUAUUAAGGUAAGAUAAGUCGUAACAUAGUAGAUGUACUGGAAAGUGUAUCUAGAAUGA